UGAUCAUCUGCAUAGUUUGGAAGAGAAAUAAUAUCUUCUGAAGAUUCCAGCAAUUCUUCCUGUGUUUCCAGAAGAACAUAUAUGUUCUUAAACAUAUAAUGUAUGUUGAAAUACUUACCAACCAGGAGAGUUUGCUGCAUCUGGGAGAGACAGUGCACUGAGCCCCAGAGAUCCCUGUGAGGUAUUAAGUUGAUGACAUCACUUAAGACACACUUCUCCAGUAAACUGAAGUUUACUGCCCUGGGAAAUCCUUGGUUAUCUUGAGAGUCUCAGCUGAGGACAGCACUUCUCACUUGGAUCUGCAAGAGAAAGGUUUAUUCGGUCAACAAGGGUGAAGAUGUAUGUGUAGCCUUGGCUGCACAGGGUCCUGAAGGACUCACAAGAACACUCUUAAGCCAUUGAAGCUGCACAGCCCUAGUCCUCCUGACUCCAUACACACGAGGAGGAGAAGCCUCCAGAGCUUUUGGAGAGGGACUUUACUGACCUGGGCCACUGAAAAAAGUGGGAAGAGAGGAAGUCUGUCUCAGAAGAUUUCUACCUUUCUUUAUAACAAGGUGUGCUGGGCUUUCCAAGUGGGUUAGUCAAACCUAAUAAAAGGUGAAAAAUCCUAGGAAGUGUACA
rnacentral:lncRNA from 1 species